GUUAGCAUCACAAAAACGCAGGACUGGCUGAACCUCCUAAAAGAUAAUAUUCAUCUGUAUCCCGCAGGACCGCUGCCGACAAUAAAACCACGUUUAACAGCGAAGAAAAGAAGCAACACGAGUAAAUCUCGGUGUGGCUUUCCACCGCUGGAGACAGCUCCUGAGAGGAAAGAGAUGCGGUUUGAUGCCGAGCUCGCAACUUUCCUGUUAGCCCGGACCUGAGCCAGAACAGCUGCAAUACCGCCGCCAUCUGUCUCACCAACGGCAGAGAGUCUAGACACAGUGAGGAGGAUCUAGGACCAGAAGUCCAGUCUAAUCACCAAUGAUGGACCAGCACCUGCCUUUUCUUCUGCAUCCGGCCUCAGCAAUCAACCCCAUGACAUCAACACCUUGAGGUAUUAUCCCUGCACAUGACGGAUAUUGUCUAUACUGUGAUCUUUUGCACGUCCCCUAAUCAAUACCUUUUGCACAUCUUGCCCAGCAGGAGUUUUUGUCGUUCUAAAACAUUUUUGUACAUAUUUUUGUAGGAUUGUUUUAUUCAUUUUUCUUUUAAUAUAUGUAUCGAUGUAUAUUUAUGUUUGACUGUUGCAGUAUUUUACAUUUUUAUUUUAUUUCCUCUGAAUACGUUAAUUGGAUACUACACCAAGCCAAAUAUCUUGUAAGUGAAAACCUGCUUGGCAAUAAAACCUUAUUUUCUGAGUCUGCCUUUGUGGUGAUGUCGUCAUCCCGUCCUCAUGUUGCUAUAGCCUGCCAAGGACCACCCAUGUGUCCUGCAGUAUCCCCUUGCCUUCAUAUAUCUGCAAGUGUAUGACACUGAGGUUACAAGUAUUUAGAUCCUAUUUUCACACCUGAAUUUAAAUUCUACUUGUUGGAAUUUUGAGCACCACAUUUUACAGCUUUGUGCUUUGCAUGUGUAGAUAGACAGAAGCUCUUCCUCUUUGUGUGUGUGUGUCUUCUUCACAUGUACAUGUAUCAUUUGUUGAGAUUUAGUCAAAGUCUUGUUUUUAUUACAGUAUAUAGUAAAUGAAGUUUAAAUGGAUGAUUCAUACAUCUUAUCUUCUGAAGUCCUUAGAAUGCUUCAAAAACAUUUCAUAGUCAAGAGGAGCUGCUUCUGAUGUAAAUGUUUAUAUAAUGUUUUAUGACGUAGAAAUCAGAAAAUUCUGAUCCUUACAGUAAAAGAUGAGUUUGGUUCCUCCACCAAAAGUCCUCCUCAGUGAUACAAACUCAUUAAGUGGCCGUACAAAAACUUCCUGCACUGAACAAGCAUCUAUCCACUGAAAACAACCUCUCCUUGUUCUGAUAACUCAAUAAAAUAUAAACUAUUUUAAUCUACAGAUUGUUUUUAAAGGUAUAGAUUGAAAAUAAUGUAUAAAUUAAGAUGAUUUCUUCAGUUUAGUUGAACUUUUCUAAACCUGACAGAAAAACCAUCACAGUCUCCUUGUAACAAAGUCACAUUUUUCACAGUUUAUAUCAGUUGAUAUGUGGUUAAAUGAACAUGAUCCUUUUAAUGAUGAUGAUUCAUUUUAAGCAUCAUUAAAAUAUAUGAUUAAUGUAGAGUAAACACUAAAGGCAGACAAACAGACACAUCAUACCAACCACAGUGGACACAAACUGAUCCUUAAAUCCUCAACUGCACUUCUAAUAUAAAUAUUUCCUCCUCUUCCAUUAAGAUCAUAUUUAGUGUAAAUCCAAGCAGCAUUUCUCCUGAUGUUGUGUCCCACGUUGCCUUCAGUCUGUUGAGAGCAGAGAAAUCAUUUCCAUAGAGAGGAGGCUUUGCAUCGUCAGCUGAUCCUCCAGUGAACUGAGAAGGUUUAUAGUCCUGUGAGUUGAACAGUGCAGGACUCAGAUCUGUCAGUCAACACAGCAGAAAGCACAACCACCAUGACUCUCAUCACCAUCCUCAUCUGGACGCUGGCCUGCUGCUGUUUUACAGGAUGCAGCGGUCAGGUGACUGUGACUCAGCCUCCAGUAGAGACAACUACUCCAGGAUCCACUGUCACUCUCACCUGUAAAACUAACCCAGCUGUUUAUUCCAACUGUGCUAAUAUUGGUCAGUGCAUGUUCUGGUACCAACAGAAAUCUGGACAGGCUCCUAAUACAAUAUGUGAGCACACGUGAAUCAGGAACACCAGCUCGGUUUAGUGGCAGUGGAAGCAGCUCUGACUUCAGUUUGACCAUCAGUGGAGUUCAGACUGAAGAUGCAGCAGUUUAUUACUGUCAGCGUUACCACAGUGGUGGAGUGUUCACACAGUGAUUUGUAGUCGUACAAAAACCUCCCUCAGUCAGACUGCAGAGACACUGAGCCGUUAGAGCAGGAAGAGACUCUGACACAGACCACUGAACACAGAGCUGACAGUCACCUCACCAAGCACUAAACACACAUUCACAAUAAAGUACUAUUGAAUAUUUUUAAUUCCUUACAAUCU